rnacentral:rRNA from 1 species
GAUGAACGCUGGCGGUCUGCUUAACACAUGCAAGUCGAACGGAAUCCUUCGGGAUUUAGUGGCGGACGGGUGAGUAACGCGUGAGAAUCUGCCUUCAGGUUCGGGACAACAGCUGGAAACGGCUGCUAAUACCGGAUGUGCCGAGAGGUGAAAGCUUUAGUGCCUGAAGAUGAGCUCGCGUCUGAUUAGCUAGUAGGAGUGGUAAUGGCACCCCUAGGCGUCGAUCAGGAGCUGGUCUGAGAGGAUGAUCAGCCACACGGGGACUGAGACACGGCACAGACUCCUACGGGAGGCAGCAGUGGGGAUUUGGCCGCAAUGGGCGCAAGCAUGACGGAGCAAGACAGCAUGAGGGAAGAAGGUCUGAGGAUUGUAAACCUCUUUUGCAGGGGAAGAAGUCGGUGACGGUACCCAUCGAGUCAGCCUCGGCUAACUCCGUGCCAGCCGCCGCCGUAA